rnacentral:rRNA from 1 species
AUGCUGUGUUUGUGUCUUCAGAAUUCAGAUUCUGGUGUCUGUUCACUACUGUUUGCAAUGCCGGCUAUCCCUUGGGCUGUUUGUUUGCCAUUCGCGAAGACUGUUGUCCAACCGCUUUGCAACGCCCCCACCGCGAUGAUCCCUGCAAUGUAUAUACAACUUAUUAAUUGGAACGUCAGAGGGUUAAACAACCUGGCUAGAAGGAGAGCGAUUCAAAAUUUUAUUGCUGACCACAACUGCAACUUGGUCUGCCUCCAGGAGACUAAGUUGGCUGACCUCUCCCCUGCUCCGGUCACUGAGAUCCCUGCCAGCAAGUUCUCUGCCAAUGUCAUUUUCAAACCGGCUAUUGGCACCCGAGGGGGCAUCUUGGUGGCUUGCCCUGAUGAUUUUGCUAUUGUUCAUCUGCAGUAUCACCUGAUUCCUGCUUCCACAACAAUCUCUGGCCAUCGACCCAUUAUUCUCAAGAAGAUGCACAUUGGGCAUUACAGGGGAUUCAGAUUUGAGGCCUACUGGGCAAGUCUUAAUGGUUUCAAAGAUGUGGUCCAAAAGGCUUGGUGCAAGCCUGUUUUUUCAACUGGCGCUGUCAAGAAUCUGCAUAUCAAGCUAUCUAGGACCGCAAGAGUACUGAAGCAAUGGAGUAACAGUCAUGGACGAGAGCAGAGAUUUAAGGAGAAGCUUGCAACAGAGGUGAUUUUCCAAUUGCAUCUUGCUCAGGAGGACAGGGAGUUGACUCAUGUUGAAAGAGAUUUCACACCACCCUAA